rnacentral:rRNA from 1 species
AGUGAACGCUGGCGGUAGGCCUAACACAUGCAAGUCGAACGGCAGCACAGUAAGAGCUUGCUCUUACGGGUGGCGAGUGGCGGACGGGUGAGGAAUACAUCGGAAUCUACUUUUUCGUGGGGGAUAACGUAGGGAAACUUACGCUAAUACCGCAUACGACCUACGGGUGAAAGCAGGGGAUCUUCGGACCUUGCGCGAUUGAAUGAGCCGAUGUCGGAUUAGCUAGUUGGCGGGGUAAAGGCCCACCAAGGCGACGAUCCGUAGCUGGUCUGAGAGGAUGAUCAGCCACACUGGAACUGAGACACGGUCCAGACUCCUACGGGAGGCAGCAGUGGGGAAUAUUGGACAAUGGGCGCAAGCCUGAUCCAGCCUUACCGCGUGGGUGAAGAAGGCCUUCGGGUUGUAAAGCCCUUUUGUUGGGAAAGAAAAGCAGCAGGUUAAUACCCCGCUGUUCUGACGGUACCCAAAGAAUAAGCACCGGCUAACCUCGUG